GCCACCACCUGGCUCUCGAUGCCUUCCAGCCUUGUGCCGAACCGCUUGAACGCCUCCAGCGCCUUGGCAUCCGAGGUCCACUCCGGCGUGUCACGCUGCCCGAGAUAAAUCUCGUCGGAGGAGUGCUUGGACAGGAUCUCCAGCAGGGAAAUGCCAAUGAUGGACUGCACCUGGUUGGUAAUGGUGUGGAUGAACACCUUUUCUGGGUCGCGGGCCAGCAAGGCGUACUCCUCGGUGUCCGGCUCCGGCAUCGGACGACGGCUCGCUGACGGCUUGUUGGGGUGGUAACCUGCGUAGGGGUACUGCCCGAAGUUUACGGCGGCGUGCAGCGCGGACCCGGUCCAGAUGAUGGUGGCGCAGGCCUUGACCAGCUCCGCCACCGUCAUCAUCUUGGGCCACCAUGCCGCGUCCUUGAGAUCGCCGUGGCCGACCUCGCGUACCUCCUUCCACCACGCCUGCAGCUCCACGUCGCUCUGAAGCACACUGUCGCUGGUGUAG
rnacentral:rRNA from 1 species